GACGAACGCUGGCGGCGUGCUUAACACAUGCAAGUCGAACGGUAAGGCCCUUCGGGGUACACGAGUGGCGAACGGGUGAGUAACACGUGGGUGAUCUGCCCUGCACUUCGGGAUAAGCCUGGGAAACUGGGUCUAAUACCGGAUAGGACCCUGGGAUGCAUGUCCUGGGGUGGAAAGCUUUUGCGGUGUGGGAUGGGCCCGCGGCCAAUCAGCUUGUUGGUGGGGUGAUGGCCUACCAGGGCGACGACGGGUAGACGGCCUGAGAGGGGGACCGGGCAGACUGAGACGGAGGUACGGCCCAGACUGCUACGGGAGGCAGCAGGGGGGAAUAUUGCACAAUGGGCGCAAGCCUGAGUCAGCGACGCCGCGUGAGGGAUGACGGCCUUCGGGUCGUAAACCUCUUUCAGCACCGACGAAGCGCAAGUGACGGUAGGUGCAGAAGAAGGACCGGCCAACUACGUGCCAGCCGCCGCGGUAA
rnacentral:rRNA from 1 species